AGAAUCAACGCUGGCGGCGCGCCUAACACAUGCAAGUCGCACGAGAAAGCCGGGGCAACCUGGUGAGUAAAGUGGCGUACGGGUGAGUAACACGUGGGUUACCUGCCCUCUGGUGGGGAAUAACCCUGGGAAACCGGGGCUAAUACCGCUUAUUCCCUUGCGGGGAAAGCCGAAAGGCGCCGGAGGAGGGGCCGCGGCCGAUUAGCUAGUUGGUAGGGUAAUGGCCUACCAAGGCUGUGAUCGGUAGCCGGCCUGAGAGGGCACACGGCCACACUGGCACUGAAACACGGGCCAGACUCCUACGGGAGGCAGCAGUGGGGAGUCUUGCACAAUGGGGGAAACCCUGAUGCAGCGACGCCGCGUGAGCGAUGAAGCCCUUCGGGGUGUAAAGCUCUUUCGGCAGGAACGAUAAUGACGGUACCUGCAGAAGAAGCUGCGGCUAACUACGUGCCAGCAGCCGCGGUAAUACGUAGGCAGCAAGCGUUGUUCGGAGUUACUGGGCGUAAAGAGUGUGUAGGCGGUUUGCCAAGUCCGGUGUGAAAUCUCCCGGCUUAACUGGGAGGGUGCGCCGGAAACUGGCAGGCUGGAGUGCGGGAGAGGAGAGCGGAAUUCCUGGUGUAGCGGUGAAAUGCGUAGAGAUCAGGAGGAACACCUGCGGUGUAGACGGCUCUCUGGACCGCUACUGACGCUGAGACACGAAAGCGUGGGGAGCAAACAGGAUUAGAUACCCUGGUAGUCCACGCCCUAAACGAUGCACACUUGGUGUGGGCAGUUCAUUCUGUCCGUGCCGUAGUUAACGCGUUAAGUGUGCCGCCUGGGGAGUACGGUCGCAAGGCUGAAACUCAAAGGGAUUGACGGGGGCCCGCACAAGCGGUGGAGCAUGUGGUUCAAUUCGACGCAACGCGAAGAACCUUACCUGGGCUCGAACGGCUCACGACAGCGCCUGGAAACAGGUGCUUCCCGCAAGGGACGGGAGUCGAGGUGCUGCAUGGCUGUCGUCAGCUCGUGUCGUGAGAUGUUGGGUUAAGUCCCGCAACGAGCGCAACCCUUGCCCUGUGUUGCCACUUCGAAAGGAAGCACUCUCAGGGGACCGCCAGCGAUAAGCUGGAGGAAGGUGGGGAUGACGUCAAGUCAGCAUGGCCUUUAUGUCCAGGGCUACACACGUGCUACAAUGGCCGGUACAAAGCGUUCCCAAGCCGCGAGGCGGAGGUAAUCGCAAAAAGCUGGUCUCAGUUCGGAUUGCAGGCUGCAACUCGCCUGCAUGAAGCUGGAAUCGCUAGUAAUGGCACAUCAGAACGGUGCCGUGAAUACGCUCCCGGGCCUC
rnacentral:rRNA from 1 species